rnacentral:lncRNA from 1 species
GAUAUGGCACAUAUUUUCGCCCUCUUUAUAAUUUCAGAACACCCAUAUUUGACGGGUAUGCAUAUGGUAUAAGAAUGUAGUGCCUUAUUUGAAUAGGAAAUUAAAAUGGUUACUGCAACCCAAAAAUCGAAAAAUUUGCUUGCUACCCCCAUCUCCCCUCUUUUCACCUACGCACUGAGUAAACUAGUCCAGGAGAACACGUCUACCUCAGGAAUUUCAUCAAAUACUUUAUAUACAUAUUUAUCGAAGAAUCUGCUACAUUCAAAUUCAUCAAAUAGCCAUUUCUUCUUCACCAUCCCAUGAACAAUUUCUCCGUGUAUAAUCGACUUCUAAUGAGCACACGAAGUGAUCACAGAAGUAAAAGUAUACUCAUCAGGUACAGCAGAAAAUGGGCGGUCUAAAGUAAGCAUUGGUGAAAAAGAUUAACGGAUUCCAAAGAACCUUGAAGUUUCGAGUAUGCUCUGAUCACAAGAUUCCAAACUAAAGUUGGCGAAGGGUAGUUGAACAAGAUUCUUGCAACAUUAACGUUGUUGGUAAUUACUUAUUUAUUUUUAAUUAUUUACUCAUGUCACAGGCACGUGAUAUUUUACAUUAUCGAGAUGGAAUCCACUAUUACAUAAUUAUAAUUUUCCCCAGAUCUGGCGUUAUAGUCGAAUCCUGACAUUUCGGACACGUGACUGCCAAUGUUACUCCUUCAACAUCUUGACUUCAGCUAUAAAUUCACUGCCUUCGCUCAGUCUUGAGGUAACACUUUCUUCGCAGCGUGUGUAAUUCUGGUUGUAUUGCCUGCUUUACAGACUGCAUGACAGAAUGUGCAGUAUCAACCGAGCCUGCACAGAUUAAUCAGCAUUCGCAUUUCUAUAUAUGAUCAAGCACUGAUGUAUAGCUGAUCGGCAGUUACUUGUACAGUGUUCUCAAGUGUACUACUGUAUAUGUAGAAACUAACACAAAC